CUGGCUCAGGAUGAACGUUGGCAGUGUGCCUAAGACAUGCAAGUCGAACGAAGCACUUUAGUUUGAUUUCUUCGGAAUGAAGACUUUAGUGACUGAGUGGCGAACGGGUGAGUAACACGUGGAUGACCUACCCUGAAGUGGGGGAUAACCUUGGGAAACCAGGACUAAUCCCGCAUGUGCUUGUUGGUUGUGACCAAUAAGGAAAGAUUUAUCGCUUUAGGAUGGGUCCGCGGGCCAUCAGCUAGUUGGUGAGGUAAAGGCUCACCAAGGCAACGACGGCUAGCCGGCCUGAGAGGGUGAACGGCCACAGGGGUACCGAGACACGGACCCCACUCCUACGGGAGGCAGCAGUUAGGAAUCUUCCACAAUGGGCGCAAGCCUGAUGGAGCGACACUGCGUGAGGGAAGAAGGCUUUCGGGUUGUAAACCUCUAAAAGUAGGACGAUAAUGACGGUACUACUUGAGAAGCACCGGCUAACUCCGUGCCAGCAGCCGCGGUAAUACGGAGGGUGCAAACGUUAUCCGGAAUCACUGGGCGUAAAGGGCACGCAGGCGGUUAGUUAAGUCCGAUGUUAAAGCGUGGGGCUCAACCCCAUAUGGGCGUUGGAUACUGGCUAACUAGACUCUUGGAGAGGUAAGUAGAAUUACCAGUGUAGCGGUGGAAUGCGUAGAUACUGGUAGGAAUACCAAUAGCGAAGGCAGCUUACUAGACAAUGAGUGACGCUGAGGUGCGAAAGUGUGGGGAGCAAACCGGAUUAGAUACCCGGGUAGUCCACACCCUAAACGAUGCAUACUUGGUGUUGGUGCGCAGGCAUCAGCGCCGGAGCAAACGCGUUAAGUAUGCCGCCUGGGAAGUACG
rnacentral:rRNA from 1 species